rnacentral:lncRNA from 1 species
CACCAAUAAAACUCUCUCGUUUUUAUUUCUCUAGACUUACCAUCGCCUUAUGGUGCCCGUGAGGGUUUUCACCAAUAAGAUCUCUCAUUUUUAUUUGUCUCCUGAUUCCUUAAGCUGAGGAAGACAAGUAGAUCCCAAAAUGCAUUAUCAUAUCCAUUGCAUGCUUAGGCUUAACAUUAUCAAAGAUUGAUCUGAAGGUCUUUCUUUGGUUGUAACUUGGAUUUUGGAUAGGAUUAGAAAGAACGGAUAGCAUGAGGCUCAAACGACACUUGAAGUGGGAUAGGACUUACAACUUCUGGAAUCGACUCAAACAAUGAGGAUUAACUCAUGCCCCAGUUUCUUUGGACUGGCAAUUCUAAAUUGUUUAUUUGGUUGGACCGAGCCCUUAGUAGGAAAGCCUACGUAUCUCACCCCCGAGAGAGGAGAAUCAGGUCAUGCGUAGUUCUGGCAGCUUGUUCUUUUGAUUGAUUUUGAUUUCUUUGUUUUUCUCUUUUUUUGACUCUUUUUAUCUUUGUGAUUUUUUCUAAGUCUAUUUUUCUUGACAUUCUUCUUUUUUCUUUCUUUUUGGACAUAUUUUUCUCUCUUCCUUUUUUGAAACUUUUCUGACUCUAUUUUUUUUCUCAACACUUUUAUUUUGAGCUUUGCUGACUCUAUCUUGAUUUCAAAAGAGGUGUAUGAAAAAAGAAAAAAUUACAGCUCAAAUGGGGUAAACAAAGGAUGACACAAUGUUUGGAUAGCAGAAUGAAAUGCCUUCGUCAUAUCAAUCCUUGAGAAUGUAAGUACAUAAUAUGCAAUUGGAAAAUAGGAGAUAAAGAUCAUGUGUGACACUUUAACAACACUAACUUAAAUUGAACAUGUGUGCCACUUCUUCUUCUUCUAUACUUGUCCAGCAUAGAACACCACCUUUGUUAUGCAUCCCUCACAUCGAAUGAUUCAUGUUUUUAUGGAGCUAAUUUCUUUUUGUUCCUCUUGAUAUAGGAUCCCGCAGCCACUUUUUGACCUAAUUGAGACAUGUCUUUCAAUUGAUGGCCGAGUUAUUCUUGUGAUUCCUAAAAUAUUUGUCUUAAUUUUCAGAAAAGGCUUCAACUUGUCACCAAAUGUCUCGGCACUCUAUCUAUUUUCUCAGAUGUUUAUUCUGACGUUAGCCCUCUAAUUCCACGUUAAUGCUCAAACUGGAUUAUAAGAUCUGACUGAAAAUUUCACUAGCAUGUCAUAUCACUAUAGUCAACAUAAAAUGUACUAUGUAGAGAAAACAAACAAACAACACAUGUUUAGAACACGAAGAAAAAUGGGACAUUUCAUUUAGUUGAAACAAAAGAUAGAAGGGUUUAAACAUAAACGACAAAAGGACUAAACAAGAUAGAUCCUGAACUACAACCCUAAAAUAAUUCGGACAACAGAAAAUAAAACAAAACAAGCUACCAGACCUCUUCCUAGUAGGGAGAGGGGUGACUUCUCAAUUGCUCAGCCUGACAUCUUAGCCACUGGUUUGCAUAUCAACAUGACUAGAUCUUUCUUCGCUGUCAAUGUUCUGCACCAUAAUCGAUUUAUCUUGAAUCAACUUUUCUAUUUCUUUUUUCAAGGCACGACAAUCUUCAAUACUGUGACCCUAAAUAUCAUAAUGAUAUGCACAUUAUACAUUAGGAUCAAAAUUUCUCUAAUGCGGGUCAGGAGUAUACCCAAGAAGAGGAGUGAUUAUGCCCCGCUGUACUAAUCUCUGAAAUAAACUAGCAUAUGAAUCUCCGAUUGGUGUGAAACUAUCCCUCGACUUCUUUCUUAUUUCAUUAUUUGGAUUAAAUUAAAAACCAGGCCUAGAAGGGCUUCGGUAUGUAUGUUGAGUCGAAGGAUGACUCGACAGAGUUAGCACGCGCCAGUGUGGGUAAGAUGGGGGUUGAACAUCUGGUUGCGCAUUAUAUACUUGAUAUGGAGAUGAGGGAAUGAAAUAUAAUGGAUUUUGGGAAAGAUUCUGUGGAUCUUGGGCAUAAGCUUGGGUUUGAGCCCGUGGGUAACGAUGGUGUGGUCCUUUCGCCCGUGCCUGUUGUCCAACUACAAUGGCAGAUGCAUCUCUCUCAUUCUUCUUUCCUCCCAUACUUCCCGAACCUUUUUAAAUUGCUUGAAUAAUCAUUUUCAAUGUUGCAAAACUCACAAUGCGAUCGGUCUUAAUUCUAUCAUAUAUCAUCUCCCCUAUUUUGAGGACCUCAAUAAAUGGUUUGCCUAAUGCAGGUAACAAGUGUUGAUAAUAUAUUUCAUCCUGCGCUUGAAUAAACAUCUCCACUAUCUUACUUUCUUUCAUUGACGGUUUCACCCUAGCAGCUUGUUCACGCAUCUAAUCGCAUACUCUCUGAAAGUUUCGGUACUUUUUUUCUUCAUAUUAAUCAAGGAUUUCUCUUCAGGAAUCAACUCCAUAUUGUAUUGAAAUUGUUGCACAAAUUCAUUAGCCAGGUCAUCCUAGCUGUUCCACUUGUCGAUGUCUUAGUCAACAAACCAUUCUGAAGCUAGACCUAAAAGACUCUCACCGAAAUAUGCCAUAAGUAAUUCUUCCUUCCCUCCAGCGCCCCUUAGCUGGUUGCAAUAGCAUCUCAAAUGUGCUACAGGAUUGCCAUGUCCAUCACACUUCUCAAACUUUGGAAUUUUAAAACCAAGAGGAAGAUGUACACCUGGAAACAUGCACAGAUCUUUAUAUGAGACAAUUUUGUACCCCCCAACUCUUUGCAAGUUUUUCAUAAUCAGUUCCAAACUUCUCAAUUUUUUGGUCAUUCCCUCUUGUUCUUCUGUCAUAAUAGGCUUCUCAGUGUUAGGAGGAAAUUCAGGCGGUUGAGUGUAGUCGUAAGGACCAGUCGACUUAAAUGUGGGCUCGGGAGCAUAAUGUUGAUCACUAAAAAUAUUCAAUACAGGGUCGCUUGUAGAGUGAGGAAUCAUAAUCGUUAGAUUGACAUUAAAAGCAGGAGCUUCAGACGGGAGUGGGGAUGCAAAAGCAUGAAUAGCAGGUGAAGCCGAGCAUGUGGUAAUUUUGUAUUGAGGAGUGAGGAAAAGAGUAUUUAAAGUGUUUGGAUACUGUUGCUCCGGAGUAGGUCCUGAUGCACGUUGUGGCGUGUCGACCAAAAUAGGGAAUUGUGCAUGUGACACUGAAGGUAAACUAGAAAGAUAUUCCGGAUUAUCAGCGAAAAAUGGAGGAGGCGGCAACCCAUUAGCCCAAGAUCGAUGCAUUUCUAUCAUUUGCUGCCUUAAUUUCCAAUCUCUUCAUUAGCUCCUACAUUCUCAUUCCCUGAACUCCCUAUCUGAUUAGUGACCACUCACAAGGUAUCCUUGUUGGCCAUAACUUUCUCUUGUGACUUGGAGCAAUAUGGGGGACCAGCCAAAAUGCCACAAACCAAGCACCUUAAACUAACUGGACAAGAGAUAGCAGAGUUCAACACUUUCUCAUAACUUUUUUUCUUUUUUUUUUUAAAUGAUCACCGAACCCAAAAAGGGCGCUUACAUAUCUCACCUCCGAGAGAGGAGAAUCAGGUGUGCGUAGUUCGUGGAGUCUUGCCAAAUGGCCAAUUGAACUAUUUGUUUUCUUUCUUUUAUUCUUUUUCUCGAAACUUUAAGAAGAAAAGAAAAUAACAAUUUGUCAAAAUAAUUGACGAAAAUAUUUUUUUUUUCAGCUUUAACAUCCCUAUACAAAGUGAAAUCUAUGAUUACCAAAGAAAAUCUUUUUGAGUUUUCAGUUUUAAAUUUCAUGCAAAAAUUAAACUCGAACCUAUUAAAGGAAAGUAUUUUUUGUAGUUUUCUUUUAAGAUGUAUAUGGAACACCUUCUCUAAAUGAAGAGUGAAGAACAUCUUUUUGAAUUUUUUAAAAUAAGAUCCCCGAACCCACAAUAGGUUGCCUACGUAUCUCAUUCCCGAGAGAGGAGAAUCAACGGUGCGUAGUUCGCCCAGAUAGGACAAUUAAGGAUUAAAUAACUGACUGAACCUUGACUUGAGAGACGAAACUACAACGAUAAAAAUCUUUUUUGGGGUUUUCACUUUGACACUCUACAUAAAACUGACACCAACCACUAUGAAAGAAAAAUCUUUUUGGUAUUUUCAUAAAAUGUACAAAACUCCUAUAAUUUUUACAUUUUUCUUUUAUAAAAAAUCCUAUGAUUGAAAAAUCUUUUCUGAAGUUUUCAAAUUGUAAAUACUUGCUAAAGGAAACAAAAGAAAAAUCUUUUUGAUGUUUUUUAUUUUGACAAUGAGUGCAAAAGAUAAAAAUCUUUUUGAAUUUUUGGAUUGAAGAAAAAAGUCAUUAAAAAAACUCUAAAAAAACUACGAAACUCUUUUUCGAUUCGCCUUUUUCUCUUUUUCCCUCUUUUUCUUUUUUUCCUUUUUAAAAAACUUUUCCUUGCCUACAUACUUCCUUUAAUUCUAGCACAUGCUUUUGCCCAAAUCAAUCUAUCAAAUGACUCUGUUACCCUCAAAGAUGCAACAGUUAGCACGUAGGGAUGCUUUAGAGUUGAGUCUCCUACAAAAGACCAAGUGGGUCCUGUUAGGUCUCAAUAUGAUGCAGAUAAAUAUGACCUAAAGGUUGACCUACGCUGGGGUUCACUAACAAGGCUGUUCGGGGGAGCGUAUGGUCGAUAGUGGCUGGUUUUGCUUUCCAUCCACUCCAUACCAGCCGACGGCUCCCCCUCCUAAGAUAAGGGUGACUCAACUAGAGGUCGUGUACACAACGUGUACUAUGAACUUGUUGCAGAAAGAAUUGACUCGAGUUAUGCACAUGAUGCCAGAUAUAAAGCAGUAACGCAUAAGAAAAAAACUAUAAACAAAGAGAACGUAAACACGCAAUAAUGAUAAAAUAAAUACAAACAAUAACACAAACAAUGUCUAUACACUCAUAAUGUCAAACUAAGACAACACAACUCAAAAAAUAAAGAUAAAAAGAAGCUCGAAUUCUGAAAAGUCCCCAGCAAAGUCGCUAGAGCUGUCACACCACUUUUUCAACCCGAAAAGAUUAAAUUUUAAGGUUCGAAAGGGUUUUUAUUAUUAAACUGACAAAAGAUUAAAAAUUUAUUUUGAAAAAGGAUUAUUUACAUUUUUUAUUCAGAGUCGCCACUUGACAUAAACUCGGUGUGACAAGUCGCCUUUAAAAAUCCUUUUCAAAACUAUUUGACUCUUUAAAACUGUCUUGCGAAUAGAGAUUUCGAUUAAGGAAUUCUGUUGACCGAGGGGAAGGUGCUAGGCACCCCUCGAUCCCGUGGUUCGACCACGGUCGCUUGGUGGAAUGUAUCGACUAAUUUUAACACUAUGAAUGUAUAAACCACACAAAACACAAAUAAAACGAUCAAUCAAACAAACAAAUACAAAACAAUGUCCGGUCCAAAUUAUACAGUCCCAAAAGAUAAAAUGCAAAAAUAUAAAUCCUAUUCUAUACUAAUCCUAGACUAAUGCUCUAUUCGACGCCUCGGGCCUUCAUCACGAACGUCCUCCGAGUAAAAGAUACCUCGGGGAAAUCCUUGGCUAAAUAAAUACAUUUCUUCAAUGCGAGAGAACCAAACUAUUCAAUAGAAUUUCAAAUAUUCAACAGAAUUUCAAACAUUCAACAAAACACUUAAUCCUAAAUUUUGCCUACCCAAACCUGUAUUUGUCUAUUCUGUUUCAACACAUCACAAUUCUAUCACGUUUAACAUUCACAUUUUUCUCCAAAAUAUCCAACGAAAAUAAAUUGGGACUAAACAAUAUUAAUUUUUUUUAUCAAUUCCUUCCAUCAAACCCCACAUUCCUUUUUAACACCAAAAUUCACAAUUCAAGAUUACUAUUUCAACAAUCCACAACCAUUUCUUCUACGAAACUAAAUAAAGCAAAUUGAUAUCACCCAACAUUCAAUCAUGUCUCACACAAAUCAAACACGUAUGAUGAAAUAAAAUAAGAAGUGAUAGAAUUGGACCUUUCAGUGAUUCAUUUUCGUUGAUAAUAAUAUUUAAGAAGGCCCAGACUCUGAGUUCGGAAUAGAACACCUCGACAAUGAACUAAGCUCCAACUCGGUAUCGCAAACCCAACCCUAUUUCACCUGUUUCCAUCAAAUGUCACCGGAAUCAGAUCGCAAGCAGUCAAUUUCAAUCGAUUGGAGACCGAUUUUACUAGUUCCAAUUGGUUGAACUGAGUUUUCAAAUGGGAAACCAGUCACCGGAAAUAUCAAACCAUGGGACUUUUCAACUCUCCAUCGAUCUCUCUUUGCUUAUCUCUCUCUUGCGCUCGAUCCCUUUUUCAACCUGUUUUUGAUCCCUCCUCCUCUAUUUUUUUCAAGCAAAUUCUUUCUCCCUUUUGAAAUCUCGGAUCUAUCUCUUCCUUACUGUUCAAUCUCUCUCCCUUUUUAAUUUUGUGUAUGUGGGUGUUUUUCUUCAACUGUGGGUCUGCCUAAAAUUUGUGUAUGGUGGUGUAUUCGUAUGUGAUGGUGAGGAGUGUAUGUGUGUUUUAAUUCCAGUGAAGUGUGUAUUAGUGUGUUAAAGUGAGUUUCCAGGUGGGUCGGUGUGUACAAGUGAGUAUAUUUGAUAGUGUGUGGACGAAGGUGUGCGGACGAUGGUGUGGAAGAGAAGAUGGAUAAUCAGAGUCUUGGUGUAUUUUUCUGGGUGUUCUCGAGUAAAGAUGAUGAAGAAGAAGCAAAAAGGAAAAACCCC